rnacentral:lncRNA from 1 species
ACGUGCGCGCCCGGGAGCUGCACACUCUUGAAGUGACCGGCCUGGAGACGGUUGCCCAGAGCAAGGCCCAUGUAGCAUCCCUGGAGGGCCUCAUCCCUGAAGAUAAGGUUGUGCUUCUGGCAGGUUCUCCCUUACAGAAUGAAGCCACCCUGGGUCAGUGUGGGGUGGAAGCCCUGACAACCCUGGAAGUGGUUGGCCGCAGGCUAGGAGUUCACAAUGUCUAAAAGUCAGCUGAUUUUGUGUUAAAAUUCAGUGUCUGGCUUUGCUUCAAAAAUUGGGAAGAUCGGCCGGACGCGGUGGCUCACGCCUGUAAUCUCAGCACUUUGGGAGGCCGAGUGGGAAAAUGAAAGAUGGAUUGAUAGCGCCGCGUGUUUCAAGAGAAGUGGGAGCAAGCAUAUUUCUUUGUGGAAGUAUAGUCCUAUGUGUUUAAUAUGUAACCAAACUUUGUCUGUGUCAAAAGAAUACAACUGAAGAUGUCAUUAUGAAACAAACCAUGGUGAGAAUUUUGACUAGUUUACAGAAAAGAUGCAUGAUGAAAAACUCAAUGAACUUAGAAAAGGACUAAACUUUCUACAGCAUUAAUCAUCGAAUACAAAUAAAAUAAGUGAUGCUGCUGUGAAAUGCAGUUACAUAAUAAGUGAAAAAA